rnacentral:sRNA from 3 species
AAUCAUCGAGACGGCGAUCUCCUCCUCCCAAUGCCGUCCGGUGUGGAUCAGCAACUCUCCUCCUCCCAGUUGCUGAUCAGGUUCAAAAGCCCGACGCACCUCCUCCCGCGUCGGGCUUUUUAU